rnacentral:rRNA from 1 species
UUAGAACAAAGAGCUGCAAAUUCGUAAGAAGGAGCCAAUCUCACAAACCUAACCUCAGUUCGAAUUGCGGUCUGCAACUCGAGCGCAUGAAGCCGGAAUCGCUAGUAAUCGUGGAUCAGAAUGCCACGGUGAAUACGUUCUUAGGUCUUGUACACACCGCCCGUCACACCAUGGAAGCGAGUCUUACCAGAAAUGGUUAACCUAAUCCAUAUAUCAGGAAACCGGGAAUCCAUAAAGGCAAGGUUCAUAACUGGGGUGAAGUCGUAACAAGGUAGCUGUAGGGGAACCUGUGGCUGGAUUACCUCCUUUAAC